AUUGAACGCUGGCGGCAUGCCUUACACAUGCAAGUCGAACGGCAGCACGGGUGCUUGCACCUGGUGGCGAGUGGCGAACGGGUGAGUAAUGCAUCGGAACGUACCCGGAAGUGGGGGAUAACGUAGCGAAAGUUACGCUAAUACCGCAUAUUCUGUGAGCAGGAAAGCGGGGGAUCGCAAGACCUCGCGCUUCCGGAGCGGCCGAUGUCGGAUUAGCUAGUUGGCGGGGUAAAGGCCCACCAAGGCAACGAUCCGUAGCGGGUCUGACAGGAUGAUCCGCCACACUGGGACUGAGACACGGCCCCAGACUCCUACGGGAGGCAGCAGUGGGGAAUUUUGGACAAUGGGGGCAACCCUGAUCCAGCCAUGCCGCGUGAGUGAAGAAGGCCU
rnacentral:rRNA from 1 species